GAUCAUGGCUCAGGAUGAACGCUGGCGGCGUGCUUAACGCAUGCAAGUCGAACGGGAAAUAUUUCAUUGAGACUUCGGUGGAUUUGAUCUGUUUCUAGUGGCGGACGGGUGAGUAGCGCGUGGGUAACCUGCCUUAUACUGGGGGAUAACAGCCAGAAAUGACUGCUAAUACCGCAUAAGCGCACAGAACCGCAUGGUUCGGUGUGAAAAACUCCGGUGGUAUAAGAUGGACCCGCGUUGGA
rnacentral:rRNA from 1 species